rnacentral:rRNA from 1 species
UACAGAGGUCUCAAGCGUUUGUUCGGAUUCAUUGGGCGUAAAGGGUGCGCAGGCGGCGCGGUAAGUCGGGUGUGAAAUCUCGGAGCUUAACUCCGAAACUGCAUUCGAUACUGCCGUGCUUGAGGACUGGAGAGGAGACUGGAAUUUACGGUGUAGCGGUGAAAUGCGUAGAUAUCGUAAGGAAGACCAGUGGCGAAGGCGGGUCUCUGGACAGUUCCUGACGCUGAGGCACGAAGGUCAGGGGAGCAAACGGG